AAACCGAGCCAAUUAAACCCUUCUCUUUCCCAUUUCUCUCUCUUUUCCUCUCACGUUUUCUCUCCCCCUCUCUCUCUAACCCUAACAACGCCGUCGAUGUCACCAUCAUUCCUGCCAGUCACCGUCGCCGCCGUUCCUACCCAGUACCGUCGUUUCCGUCGCCGUCCACAGCCAACCAUUUGAGAAUCAAUAUCAACAUUCAAAGGCGAAGUUUCUUCGUACUCAGCCACCCAACACACAGCUGACAGAAGAACAAAUGGAGGAAAGGUGGCUUGGUUUGGCACAGCUUACGGAAUGCUACAGCUAUCUAGCUAGCUAUAGGCCUCGGAGGAAAGGGAGAGGCGGAGAGACGUGCAGUUUGACAGUAUGAGCGCCCAAUUAGAUGCAUUACUUGCUUCGAGGGGGAUUCCCUCGUGUCCUGAUGAUGCUCGUAACCCCCAUACUCAAUCUAGUGGUGCGGAUGAUGAUGAGACUCACGUGUCAAACACACAAAGACAUGUUUGAAUGUUAAUGUUGUGGUGGAUUUGUGGAUUGUGUAAGUGUUUUGUGGAUGUUUGCGAGGGGUGAAGUAGUCUAAUGUUGUAGACUAACUUAGUGUAGACUAGUUUAAUGUUUUGUGGAUGAAAACGCAAAGGUUGAAGUAGUUUAAUGUUGUGUUGAUGUUUGCGAAGGUUGAAGUAACUUAAUGUCUCUUGUGAAUGUUUGAAUGACGUUUUGAUUCAACUUUGAAGUAAAUUCGAAUUGAAUUUGAUGUAUUGGUGGUUGUAA